CCCAGGAUUAAGCGCGAGCUCAACCGAC
rnacentral:sRNA from 1 species